ACGGUGGCACAGUUGGUAGCGCUGUUGCUUUGCAGCAAGAAGGUCCUGGGUUCGACUCCCAGCUGAAGUU